GACGAACGCUGGCGGCGUGCUUAACACAUGCAAGUCGAACGGAAAGGCCCUGCUUUUGUGGGUGCUCGAGUGGCGAACGGGGGAGUAACACGUGAGUAACCUGCCCUUGACUUUGGGAUAACUUCAGGAAACUGGGGCUAAUACCGGAUAGGAGCUCCCGCUGCAUGGUGGGGGUUGGAAAGUUUCGGCGGUUGGGGAUGGACUCGCGGCUUAUCAGCUUGUUGGUGGGGUAGUGGCUUACCAAGGCUUUGACGGGUAGCCGGCCUGAGAGGGUGACCGGCCACAUUGGGACUGAGAUACGGCCCAGACUCCUACGGGAGGCAGCAGUGGGGAAUAUUGCACAAUGGGCGGAAGCCUGAUGCAGCAACGCCGCGUGCGGGAUGACGGCCUUCGGGUUGUAAACCGCUUUCGCCUGUGACGAAGCGUGAGUGACGGUAAUGGGUAAAGAAGCACCGGCUAACUACGUG
rnacentral:rRNA from 1 species